UGGGGAAUAUUGCACAAUGGGGGAAACCCUGAUGCAGCGACGCCGCGUGGAGGAAGAAGGUCUUCGGAUUGUAAACUCCUGUCGUUGAGGACGAUAAUGACGGUACUCAACAAGAAAGCCACGGCUAACUACGUGCCAGCAGCCGCGGUAAAACGUAGGUGGCAAGCGUUGUCCGGAAUUACUGGGUGUAAAGGGAGCGCAGGCGGAAGCGCAAGUUGGAUGUGAAACCCAUGGGCUCAACCCAUGGCCUGCAUCCAAAACUGUGUUUCUUGAGUAGUGCAGAGGUAGGCGGAAUUCCCGGUGUAGCGGUGGAAUGCGUAGAUAUCGGGAGGAACACCAGUGGCGAAGGCGGCCUACUGGGCACCAACUGACGCUGAGGCUCGAAAGCAUGGGUAGCAAACAGG
rnacentral:rRNA from 1 species